rnacentral:rRNA from 1 species
CCCCCCCUAAUUUUGCAAGUCGAACGCACUCUCGUUAGAUUGAAGAAGCUUGCUUCUGAUUGAUAACAUUUGAGUGAGUGGCGGACGGGUGAGUAACACGUGGGUAACCUGCCCUAAAGUGGGGGAUAACAUUUGGAAACAGAUGCUAAUACCGCAUAAAACCUAGCACCGCAUGGUGCAAGGUUGAAAGAUGGUUUCGGCUAUCACUUUAGGAUGGACCCGCGGUGCAUUAGUUAGUUGGUGAGGUAAAGGCUCACCAAGACCGUGAUGCAUAGCCGACCUGAGAGGGUAAUCGGCCACACUGGGACUGAGACACGGCCCAGACUCCUACGGGAGGCAGCAGUAGGGAAUCUUCCACAAUGGACGAAAGUCUGAUGGAGCAACGCCGCGUGAGUGAAGAAGGUUUUCGGAUCGUAAAACUCUGUUGUUGGAGAAGAACGUAUUUGAUAGUAACUGAUCAGGUAGUGACGGUAUCCAACCAGAAAGCCACGGCUAACUACGUGCCAGCAGCCGCGGUAAUACGUAGGUGGCAAGCGUUGUCCGGAUUUAUUGGGCGUAAAGCGAGCGCAGCGGUU